AUUGAACGCUGGCGGCAGGCCUAACACAUGCAAGUCGAGCGGAUGAAGGGAGCUUGCUCCUGGAUUCAGCGGCGGACGGGUGAGUAAUGCCUAGCAAUCUGCCUGGUAGUGGGGGAUAACGUCCGGAAACGGGCGCUAAUACCGCAUACGUCCUGAGGGAGAAAGUGGGGGAUCUUCGGACCUCACGCUAUCAGAUGAGCCUAGGUCGGAUUAGCUAGUUGGUGGGGUAAAGGCCUACCAAGGCGACGAUCCGUAACUGGUCUGAGAGGAUGAUCAGUCACACUGGAACUGAGACACGGUCCAGACUCCUACGGGAGGCAGCAGUGGGGAAUAUUGGACAAUGGGCGAAAGCCUGAUCCAGCCAUGCCGCGUGUGUGAAGAAGGUCUUCGGAUUGUAAAGCACUUUAAGUUGGGAGGAAGGGCAGUAAGUUAAUACCUUGCUGUUUUGACGUUACCAACAGAAUAAGCACCGGCUAACUUCGUG
rnacentral:rRNA from 1 species